rnacentral:tRNA from 1 species
AAGAUACUAGUAAAAUGAAUAUUACAUCGCCUUGUCAAGACAAAAUUACAGGUUUAAAUCCUGUGUACCUUA